rnacentral:rRNA from 1 species
UACAGAGGUCCCGAGCGUUGUUCGGAUUCAUUGGGCGUAAAGCGCACGUAGGCGGCCAGAUAAGUCCGCUGUGAAAUCUCGAGGCUCAACUUCGAGCUGUCGGUGGAAACUGUCUGGCUAGAGUCCGGAAGAGGAGAAUGGAAUUCCUGGUGUAGCGGUGAAAUGCGCAGAUAUCAGGAAGAACACCCGUGGCGAAGGCGGUUCUCUGGGACGGUACUGACGCUGAGACGCGAAAGCGUGGGGAGCGAACAGG